rnacentral:rRNA from 1 species
CACGUAGGGGGCGAGCGUUGUCCGGAUUUAUUGGGCGUAAAGAGCUCGUAGGUGGCUUAGUAAGUCGGGUGUGAAACCUCCAGGCUCAACCUGGAGACGCCACCCGAUACUGCUAUAGCUUGAGUCCGGUAGGGGAGCGUGGAAUUCCUGGUGUAGCGGUGAAAUGCGCAGAUAUCAGGAGGAACACCAGCGGCGAAGGCGGCGCUCUGGGCCGGUACUGACACUCAACUACGAAAGCGUGGGGAGCAAACAGG